rnacentral:rRNA from 1 species
UACGUAGGGGGCAAGCGUUGUCCGGAAUCAUUGGGCGUAAAGAGCGUGUAGGCGGCCCGGUAAGUCCGCUGUGAAAGUCGGGGGCUCAACCCUCGGAAGCCGGUGGAUACUGUCGGGCUCGAGUACGGAAGAGGCGAGUGGAAUUCCUGGUGUAGCGGUGAAAUGCGCAGAUAUCAGGAGGAACACCAAUUGCGAAGGCAGCUCGCUGGGACGUCACUGACGCUGAGACGCGAAAGCGUGGGGAGCAAACAGG